GCACCAAAGCCACCUCUCUUUCGCUCCCAUGGACAGGAGCCAGCUGUCUGAGGUUGUGGAUAAGGUGGGCCUUGGCGUAAUCUCCUGGACUCCAACUGUUCUGAUUAGUUCCACACACUGAAUCAGUCUCUGCUUCAGAGUUAUCUUCUGAUUUAUGAUCUGUAUGUACCUCCCUCUUUCUCUAUAAGAACUGAAUGUAUUUCCAUGCAAGCUAAGUUCUGUGUAGGCUGUGCCCAUAUGUACACGCUGCCACAUUGCUUCUCUGUCGACAGAUUUGUUUGUAAUUAGUACAUAUGUUCAUGUAACGCCAA